rnacentral:rRNA from 1 species
GACGAACGCUGGCGGCGUGCUUAACACAUGCAGGUCGAACGGAAAGGCCCUGCUUUUGUGGGGUGCUCGAGUGGCGAACGGGUGAGUAACACGUGAGUAACCUGCCCUUGACUUUGGGAUAACUUCAGGAAACUGGGGCUAAUACCGGAUAGGAGCUCCUGCUGCAUGGUGGGGGUUGGAAAGUUUCGGCGGUUGGGGAUGGACUCGCGGCUUAUCAGCUUGUUGGUGGGGUAGUGGCUUACCAAGGCUUUGACGGGUAGCCGGCCUGAGAGGGUGACCGGCCACAUUGGGACUGAGAUACGGCCCAGACUCCUACGGGAGGCAGCAGUGGGGAAUAUUGCACAAUGGGCGGAAGCCUGAUGCAGCAACGCCGCGUGCGGGAUGACGGCCUUCGGGUUGUAAACCGCUUUCGCCUGUGACGAAGCGUGAGUGACGGUAAUGGGUAAAGAAGCACCGGCUAACUACGUG